ACGAACGCUGGCGGCAUGCCUAACACAUGCAAGUCGAACGAGACCUUCGGGUCUAGUGGCGCACGGGUGCGUAACGCGUGGGAACCUGCCCUUAGGUUCGGAAUAACUCCCCGAAAGGGGUGCUAAUACCGGAUAAUGUCUUCGGACCAAAGAUUUAUCGCCUUUGGAUGGGCCCGCGUUGGAUUAGCUAGUUGGUAGGGUAAAAGCCUACCAAGGCGACGAUCCAUAGCUGGUCUGAGAGGAUGAUCAGCCACACUGGGACUGAGACACGGCCCAGACUCCUACGGGAGGCAGCAGUGGGGAAUAUUGGACAAUGUGCGAAAGCCUGAUCCAGCAAUGCCGCGUGAGUGAUGAAGGCCUUAGGGUUGUAAAGCUCUUUUACCCGGGAUGAUAAUGACAGUACCGGGAGAAUAAGCUCCGGCUAACUCCGUG
rnacentral:rRNA from 1 species